rnacentral:tmRNA from 1 species
UACGUUUACAUGAUAAAGAAGAAAUGUUAAGUCAUGUUAUGUUCCUUAACUAUGGCAAUAAACGAAGUGCAGAAUAAGCGUAGUGGACCCGGGGGCGGUACCCGGCGUCUCCACCAAGAUGUAAACAUCUAGAAUAAAAAUAUCUAGAAUGCGUUAUUUUUGGUUUAACUAGGGGGACGAAACAGGAUCGACACGCGUAGUAAAGGCAUUUCUUUUGCUCGGUAUUGUACCACCGUUAUCGGGCUAAUUUUACAAGUGCCAACGAUGAUUCUGAGGUGCUCGCUGUCGCAGCAUAAGCGAUAAGCGCGGUCUGGAAAGCACCGGGCAACAGAAGCUUUCCACA